rnacentral:rRNA from 1 species
AUGCAUCGCACAGCCAGCCUCCUCCUCCUGAUCAUCAUAAGCGCCAGUUCAUUCUUCACGGGUGGUGCGCCGCAACCCCCGAGUUCCCAUGGUGGUGGUUGCAUCGCCGCCGAGAGGACUGCCUUGCUCUCCUUCAAAGAGGGCAUCACAAGUGACCCCGCCGGCCUCCUUGCCUCGUGGCGUGGCCAGGACUGCAGCCGGUGGAGAGGCGUCAACUGCAGCAACCAGACCGGCCAUGUCAUCAGGCUUCGCCUCCGCUCUCCAAACCCGGACUUUUUUCCUGUGUUCCUGGGCCAGAUGAGGAACCUGAGAUACCUCAACCUCACCGGCUUAACGAUGUUUACCGGUAGGGUGCCUCCACAGCUCGGUAACCUGUCCAAGAUGCAGUAUCUGUCCAUCGGCCAGGCUGGUAGUCGCUCUCAGAUGUACUCUGAUGACAUCACCUGGUUAACAAACCUUCGUUUGCUACAGCACGUUAGCAUCGGAGGGAUAAAUCUCUCUGGGAUACAUGACUGGCCUCAUACGCUGAACAUGAUCCCGUCUCUAAGGGUUAUCAGUCUCAGUGAUUGUUCGCUUCAGAGCGCAAACCAAUCGCUUCCAUACCUCAAUCUCACAAGACUUGAGAAGCUUGAUCUUUCCUGGAACAGUUUUGACCACUCAAUAGCAACUAGUUGGUUUUGGAAAGCCACAAGCCUCAAGUACCUCAAUCUUCAGGCCAACAGAUUAUCCGGCCAAUUUCCCGACGCACUAGGAAACAUGACAUCCCUUCAAGUCCUUGACGUGUCAGAAAAUUGGAACAAGUAUUUGAUGGUGACAGGAAACCUGAAGAAUCUUUGCAGUCUGAAUAUUCUAGACUUCAGCAAUAAUGAAAUAAAUGGAGAUAUAGCAGUCAUGAUGGGGGGUUUGCCAGAAUGCGCAUGGGAAUCUUUGCAAGAGCUAGAUUUCAGCUACAACAGUUUAACUGGAACAUUGCCAAAUUUGAUAGGUACAUUCAGCAGCUUGAGGAGACUUAAACUCAACAAGAACAACCUCACCGGAAGUAUCCCACCGGGCAUUGGGUAUUUAACAUGCUUAGCUGCCCUUGACCUUUCGAACAACUGCUUCAGUGGAAGCGUACCCUUUGAAAUUGGUUCCCUAACUAAUCUAUCUUCUUUGGAUCUAAGCAACAACAACUUCAGUGGUAUUGUGCCAUCUGAAAUUGGUGCCCUUAGUGAUCUGACUUCUUUGGUCCUAAG